CAGGAGGGGUUGCAUCAGAAAAAGCACCGCCACAAUCAGAACCUCAAGGGCGCGGCGAGGAAGUGAGCGGGACUGGACGAUCUCCUCAACAAAUCCAAAAUGAAGGUUGGAGCUCACAGGGCUCUGAGAAUGUGACACUGGCAGAAGUCUACCUCAUGCUGGGCAAGCCUGGGAAACUACAGCUGGAGUAUGAAUGGCAGCCUAAACCCCAACCCUCAGCUCUGCCCACCACUCAAAGUGUGCUUCGGUGUCUCCUGAGACUUGUGUCAUCAGAGGUCAACCCCAAACCAACCCCGGAGGUGUGUUCAGUGGGCACUUCACCUUUGAAAUCAGGUCAAGAGGAAUCAUCUGUGACUCCUCCAGGCAGGGCUCCAGCUGGGAUGACCCGCAGUCCUAGCUGGGGUCGACAGCAGCAUGCAGCACGCUCAAAAAUACUUCUGAAUAAUGCAGUCAUCACAGGUACACAGAGACAUAAUUGUGUCUUAUUUUAAGACGAAGUGUCAUUAUUUCUGCAAUUCUAAAUGGUGGCACAGAAAUGACGGAUUUUCCCAAAUAUCCCCCAUUUGCCUUUGGAUGGCAGUUAGUUUCACCCCAAACUCACGGCAUUGGUUGAGCAAUUGUUAAUAUUUCAGGCCAUUCACCUUGCUCACAGACCAAAGUUUUAGGGAAAUCAGUAUACAAAUGGUUUACUUGUAGUUGCACAUUAAACUGGGGUAAAAGAAAGUAUUUAAUAUUGAAACACUUCACUUUUAAAGCCAGUGUAAUGAACAUCAUUCCAGAACAGAUUGAAGUUUAUUGCAACAGUUAACAGCUGGAAAAACCUGAAGUUUCACCUCUUAUUGAACCAAGAAUAUCUAUUGACUCAAUAUUGUGACAAAAUUGCAGUGUUGCUGCUCUGUAUUAGUUUUACCUGCUGGAAGUAAAAUAGAUGUGUUCUCCGCAGGUGGGAGAAACCUGCCACGUUCUCUGCUGGCCUCCGGGGGUGACAGCGAAGGGUUUGCUGUCC
ensembl:lncRNA